UGUAAUUGUAAAUAAUCAAAAAUCUAAAAAGCAACACUUACUUUAUCAAAUGUUCUGAGGUGUUUCUCCUUUUUUUUUUUUUAGAUUUUUUGAAAAUUUAUUUAUUCGUGAGAGACAGAGAGAAGGAGGCAGAGACACACAGGCAGAGAGAGAAGCAGGCUCCAUGCAGGGAGCCUGAUGCAGGACUCGAUCCCAGGACUCCAGGAUCACACCCGGGCCGAAGGCUGGCACUCAACCGCUGAGCCAUCCAGGUGUCCCUGAGCUGCUUCUCUUGAAGAGAUGUAUAUGUCUAUGGCUCAAUGUUAGGAUUUCUUCCUCUAUAAUGUUGGUGACACAGACAGAAAUCACUCAUCUGUGAGCUGACCCUGGGAAGAUAGAGCCAUCCUGUUGGUCUGUUCGAGAGUUGAAGGCAUUAAGGACAAAGACUCCCACUUAGACUGAAAUGUGGAGGAAUGACUUCUGAAAGGUGACAUCGUGGGGAAGUAGAGGCAGUCUGGAGUCACGUGCAACGUGCCCCGUGAUCCCAUCUUUGAAUAUGGAGUUGACAGGUGAGAACAAGUGCUCUCCAUGGUCUUCUGCCCUGAAAAUCAGAAGACUUUGCAAACUGGGGAUUUCUCUGAUUGCACUGGGCUUUUGCACAAGCUGGAAACAUGUGUGCCUGCUUCAACCACCAGCUGUCUACAACAAGAUCAAGGUCCUUUUCUCAGACAUAUAAGGAUGGAUCAAUAUUCAUGUCAACCAAACUGCAAUUUGAUUAGCACUGUGUUAGGAUCUAGAGGGGACACAAAAGUCUCAGAUGAAAUCAUGUAAGCACAACACAAGUCCUAGCACAGUGCCAGUCAAGGAGAAAUGAUUUGAAGAUUGAGAGAUGCUUCUAAGGCAUAUUGUUUUCUGUGUCUAUUGUGUGGAGCAUGUGACUAACAUUUUCUGGCAUGUAAUUUCCUAUCCCUAUAAUACUUUCC
rnacentral:lncRNA from 1 species